rnacentral:lncRNA from 1 species
CUUUUUAGGGCCACACCUGUGGCAUAUGGAGGUUCCCAGGCUAGGAGUCUAGUUGGAGCUGUAGCUGCUGGCCUACGCCAGAGCACAGCCACACCAGAUCAGAACCGCGUCUGCAACCCAUACCACAGUUCGUGGCAUCGCCAGAUCCUUAACCCACUGAUCAAGGCCAGGGAUCAAACCGGUAACCUCAUGGUUCCUAGUCGUAUUCGUUAACCACUGAGCCAUGACGGGAACUCCUCCCCUCUUUUUAAAGAUAGUGUAGGAGUUCCUGCUGUGGCACAGUAGUGGUAUUGCUGCAGCUAUGGUCUAGGUCGUAGCUUGGGGCUCAGAUUUGAUACAUGGCCUGGGAACUUUCACAUGCCAUGGGCGGAGCUGAAAAAGAAAAAAUAAUAAAAACUAAAAAUAUAACGUAACAAUUGUGUAACCCUUUAAUUUUAAUGAUCUAUUAUUCAAGUUCUCACUGCAGGUAAGUAGAUUUCUGGAGACAUGAUUUUACUUUUGGCCUAUGCAAAUACUCAUAAUAAAGACUUUUCCUCUAAUAGAAUUCUAUUUUCAAUGAUAAAAAGGGUUAAAUCCUUAAUUUACAAUGUUCUCAAGCAUUUCAUUUAUAUCACACUUUGCUAAUAUAACAAUCCACUGUUAACGAUAAUAAGUUGAGAUUUUUAACUGACUUUUUCUGACCUAGACACUAGAUCUGGGUCCUCCUGGAUAAGGAGUCCCACGUAUCUCAAGAACUGUCCUGCAUUAAGAUCCCUGUUGAGUCACCAGCAGCAGCUGGCGGGAAGUGUGACCUCCAAGAUGUUGAACUCUGAGUGCAGCAGCUGGGGCCAUUGGUCAAUGAUGCUCACUGAAGCAGGAAACUCGAGUACAUAUCGUCACAAGACCACCACAACCAGAAACCUCUGGAUGGAUGAGGACCCUAGGUCCUCACCUGUUAGCAUGUCUUCAUGACAAGACAAGAUAAGAAACAGCUGCAUUAAAACCCACCAUUGUCUUUAUGGCAGGCAAACUCCUGGGGACACUGUCCACUACAUCACAGUGUACCCUUUAUGAGAGCCCAAGAAAAACACCUCCUGUGGCUCAGGGCCAGGCAAAGUCAUUCCUCCUGCGCAACUGGUAUGUUUUCAUUCUGUAGAUGUACAGAUUUUCUAACUGAUUUUCUCUUUGUCCGAAUUAUUAGAAAAUUAAAAGCUAGAUCUAGGAUCUAUCUUUAGUUUGGGGGCUUUCAUUUUUCAACUAUUCUAACUUUUUAUUUUUUAUUCUCUGUAGGAGAUCUAAACUCCCUUUGGAAAUAAGGCAGGAACUAAUCACCUUAAACUAGGCUGGAACUAUUUGGAACUAAAAAUACUAGAUUUUAAGCACGUUAAUUUUAGCCAUAUUUUAUUUACUUAUUUAUUUUUCUUUUUAGGGCCGCACCUGCGGCACACAGAAGUUCCUAGGACAGGGGUCAAACCAGAGCUGUAGCUACCGGCUUAAACUACAGUCACGGCAACACAAGAUCCAAGCCGAGUCUGCAACCUACACCACAGCUCACAGCAAUGCCAGAUCCUUAACCCACUGAGCAAGGCCAGGGAUCGAACCUGCAUCCUCAUGGAUACAGGUCGGGUUCAUUACUGCUGAGCCACGACAGGAACUCCUAGUAGCCACAUUUCAAAAUGAAAAGAAACAGGUGAAAUUGAGACAACCGAAGUCUUCGAAAGCUCAGUAUGUACUUUAUACUGAAAGCUCAUCACAACUUGUUCCAGCUGCACUGCAAGUGCUCAGUGGCCACAUGUGGCUAGUGGUUCCUGAAUUGUACAGGUCAGGUCUAAGCAUAAAGGAUCUGAAAUGAUGACCAUAGUGUCGGGGGAGUUUUCCAGGUUAUAAUUACAAAUGCAUCUGACCUAUAUUCGUAGUUGGCUUUGAUUGAAGAUUUCUGAGCUCCUGGGAGUUUCUGAAGCAAAUACUAGGUAUAAGAAAGUAUAAGAUCUUCUGACAAGGGUAAUGACCAUGCAAACCCCAAGAUUUCUGGAUCUUUCUUAGCUUCUCUGUGGCUUUUUUUUUUUUCCCCCUUGACUGGACCAUCCUUGGCUCCUUCUAAGAAACAACAUAAUAUAAAAUGGUUUGGGACAUCUGCUAAGAAAGAAAGAAAACAAACACAUUUGGUUUAUUCUGAACUUCAUCCAGAGAGUAUUAAAAAUGACCUUAAAGUGUGCUAAUAAAGGUACAAAGUCAAAGGGCAGAAACACUGCAGGUGUAAUCAACAAAUGAACAACAAAAUUUUGAUUCUCGUUUUAGAACCAGCUCUAAAAUUUUACACUUUAGUUUGGAUAAUAAAAGUGUUGUUCAUUUAAAUCAUGAGUAAAAGACCAAAAAUGGAUUUAGAUACCUGAGAAUUGAGAAUUUGAUGUUUUUAGACAAAUUAUUUAACCUGUAAAAGCCUCCAUUUCUACCUGAGUAUAGAGUAACAACUACAUCAAAGAAUGGCUACAAAGAUUAAUAAUAUUAUGUAUAAAGCUUACAACCAGCUAAUAGUAUGCAUUCAAUAAAUGGUACCUAUCGUUAUAGUUGAUCACAAAAGAUUAUUAAAUUCAAGUAUUCCUAACCUGGGGUCUGCAGAUCCUUGGUCCAUGGCUAAAACUGCGGGGGGUGGGAGGGGAAGGGAUUCCUAAAAUUGGAUGGGAAAAAAGACUACCUACAUUUUCACUAAUCUCUCGCCAAAAUCUAGCUUUUUUUUCCAUUAUGAAUGCUGUUAACAUCCCAGAAUUAUCUGAAGGAUGUUCAACUUGGCACCAAUAGAAGCUACAGAUAUUUUUAUAUUACACUUCUGAUGCUACAGACAUCUCAAAGUAUCUUUUCCUUGGCACCUUUUUGAAAUUCCAGCUGUUGUUAGACCUGCUAUUAGAUCUUGUUAAUUAAUGCAUUAGUAAAGAAGUAAUACUAUGUUAUCAAUGUACUGUUUUUAACUUUAAUAUAAUAGGUUUCCUUUGUAAUCCUACAUGUUUUAUUUCUUAAAGCAUGAUUCUGAGGGGUCUAUAAACUUUCACAAGUCUGCCAUGGCACAAAACAAGGUUAAGAAUCCCUAACUUUUUAGUCCAUAUUUGCUUUCAGAAAAUCAACCAAGUUUGACAAUUGACCACCUGCCUGGGUGAGCCUAUUCUCAUGGCCUCAGGUUUGUUUUUCUGUGUAUAGUUUGUUAGGGAGAUAUUACAGUUCUGGUACCUAUCAGUUAACCUUCCUGUUCUGUGUUCAAGUUGUCAAGCUGGUUUUCUGGUAUGUUCCAUGGAGCUCGGGGAUAUACUUGGGCCCCCACUGAAGCUAGGCAGUGGUUCUUAACUGCGGUCCCAGACCAGUAGCAUGAGCAUCGCCUGGCAGCUUGCUGGAUUUGCAAAUUCUAGGGUCAUGCCCCAGACGUCCUGAAACAAGCCCUGGGGAAAUGCCCACUGGAGUUUGAGAAUCACCGCGCUAGGCAAUCUGAGGGCGGUCCAAUCCUGAGCGAGAGACUCUCAUAUCGACUUUUCAGAGGGACUUACAGAGCUCCUGCAACCGAGCGAGGCAGGAGGUGGGGAGGUAGGGGAGGUGCUGAGGGGCUGCCAUCGAAUCGAAAGCCGGGGCUACGAGCCUUGUUUUGGUCCUCUAACCCAGAUUUUACUUACAUUACACGGGGCCUCGAGGGUGACUGAUGAUCAUCGCCCCCCUCAGCACCAAACCCUCUGCGCAGGCACUGUACGGCCAAAGAAGGGGACUCAAGGGAGAACCUGCGAGCGCCCCACGAAAACUGCUCUAGACCUGCAGGUUCGGGCCAGUUGGGUCUGCAGCCCGCUGGACCUCUCCCAGCCCCACCGC